rnacentral:rRNA from 1 species
CCUACGGGGGGCAGCAGUGAGGAAUAUUGGUCAAUGGGCGGAAGCCUGAACCAGCCAAGUAGCGUGCGGGAUGAAGGCCCUACGGGUCGUAAACCGCUUUUGCACGGGGAUAACACCCUCCACUUGUGGAGGUCUGCAGGUACCGUGCGAAUAAGGGCCGGCUAAUUCCGUGCCAGCAGCCGCGGUAAUACGGAAGGCCCGAGCGUUAUCCGGAUUUAUUGGGUUUAAAGGGUGCGUAGGCGGCCUUUUAAGUCAGCGGUGAAAGUCUGUGGCUCAACCAUAGAAUUGCCGUUGAAACUGGGGGGCUUGAGUAUGUUUGAGGCAGGCGGAAUGCGGGGUGUAGCGGUGAAAUGCUUAGAUAUCACGCAGAACCCCGAUUGCGAAGGCAGCCUGCCAAGCCAUGACUGACGCUGAUGCACGAAAGCGUGGGGAUCAAACAGGAUUAGAUACCCCAGUAGUC